GGGUUUAAAGGGCGCGUAGGCGGACAUUUAAGUCAGGGGUGAAAUCCCAGAGCUCAACUCUGGAACUGCCUUUGAUACUGGGUGUCUUGAGUGUGAGAGAGGUAUGUGGAACUCCGAGUGUAGAGGUGAAAUUCGUAGAUAUUCGGAAGAACACCAGUGGCGAAGGCGACAUACUGGCUCAUUACUGACGCUGAGGCGCGAAAGCGUGGGGAGCAAACAGGAUUAGAUACCCUGGUAGUCCACGCCGUAAACGAUGAUUGCUAGUUGUCGGGCUGCAUGCAGUUCGGUGACGCAGCUAACGCAUUAAGCAAUCCGCCUGGGGAGUACGGUCGCAAGAUUAAAACU
rnacentral:rRNA from 1 species